rnacentral:rRNA from 1 species
UACGUAGGUGGCAAGCGUUGUUCGGAAUUAUUGGGCGUAAAGGGCGCGUAGGCGGCUUGUUAAGUCGGCUGUGAAAGCCCGGGGCUCAACCCCGGAGGGUCAGCCGAUACUGGCAGGCUAGAGUACGGAAGAGGUAGCUGGAAUUCCCGGUGUAGCGGUGAAAUGCGCAGAUAUCAGGAGGAACACCGAUGGCGAAGGCAGGUCUCUGGGCCAUAACUGACGCUGAGAAGCGAAAGCAUGGGGAGCGAACAGG